GCCUACACAUGCAAGUCGAACGGUAGCACAGAGAGCUUGCUCUCGGGUGACGAGUGGCGGACGGGUGAGUAAUGUCUGGGAAACUGCCUGAUGGAGGGGGAUAACUACUGGAAACGGUAGCUAAUACCGCAUAACGUCGCAAGACCAAAGAGGGGGACCUUCGGGCCUCUUGCCAUCAGAUGUGCCCAGAUGGGAUUAGCUAGUAGGUGGGGUAACGGCUCACCUAGGCGACGAUCCCUAGCUGGUCUGAGAGGAUGACCAGCCACACUGGAACUGAGACACGGUCCAGACUCCUACGGGAGGCAGCAGUGGGGAAUAUUGCACAAUGGGCGCAAGCCUGAUGCAGCCAUGCCGCGUGUAUGAAGAAGGCCUUCGGGUUGUAAAGUACUUUCAGCGGGGAGGAAGGUGUUGUGGUUAAUAACCNCAGCAAUUGACGUUACCCGCAGAAGAAGCACCGGCUAACUCCGUGCCAGCAGCCGCGGUAAUACGGAGGGUGCAAGCGUUAAUCGGAAUUACUGGGCGUAAAGCGCACGCAGGCGGUCUGUCAAGUCGGAUGUGAAAUCCCCGGGCUCAACCUGGGAACUGCAUUCGAAACUGGCAGGCUAGAGUCUUGUAGAGGGGGGUAGAAUUCCAGGUGUAGC
rnacentral:rRNA from 1 species